AUGAAACAAACCGGGGGUGGCAGGGCAUGGCCUCGCACCAGAGGAGACGCCGUUGUGCAGGCUCGUCCUGCCCCCUCAUCCACAACCCACACACCUGUGCACCAAAGGGACGGCGGGUGGAUAACGCACGCCGUCUCGCUUUAACAAGCUCAAAAGUCUAUUUUGAAUGUCAUUUAUUCGGGCUAGCCCCGAUGUAACUUAGACAUAA
rnacentral:misc_RNA from 1 species